UACGUAGGGGGCAAGCGUUGUCCGGAUUUAUUGGGCGUAAAGAGCGUGUAGGCGGCCAGACAGGUCGGCUGUGAAAACUCGAGGCUCAACCUCGAGACGUCGGUUGAAACCGUCUGGCUAGAGUCCGGAAGAGGAGAGUGGAAUUCCCGGUGUAGCGGUGAAAUGCGCAGAUAUCGGGAAGAACACCCGUGGCGAAGGCGGCUCUCUGGGACGGUACUGACGCUGAGACGCGAAAGCAUGGGGAGCGAACAGG
rnacentral:rRNA from 1 species